rnacentral:rRNA from 1 species
GUAGGGAAUAUUGGUCAAUGGAUGGAAGUCUGAACCAGCCAUGCCGCGUGCAGGAAGAAGGCCUUCUGGGUUGUAAACUGCUUUUGCCAGGGGAUAAAAGAUCCAUGCGUGGAAAAUUGAAGGUACCUGGUGAAUAAGCCACGGCUAACUACGUGCCAGCAGCCGCGGUAAUACGUAGGUGGCAAGCGUUGUCCGGAUUUAUUGGGUUUAAAGGGUGCGUAGGCGGCCUAUUAAGUCAGUGCUGAAAUCCUCCGGCUUAACCGGAGAUGUGGCAUUGAUACUGAUGGGCUUGAGUACAGAUGAGGUAGGCGGAAUUGACGGUGUAGCGGUGAAAUGCUUAGAUAUCGUCAAGAACACCUAUAGCGAAGGCAGCUUACUAGGCUGUAACUGACGCUGAGGCACGAAAGUGUGGGGAUCAAACAGGAUUAGAAACCCGUGUAGUCC